GACGGAGGGGGCAAGCGUUGUCCGGAAUUACUGGGCGUAAAGAGCGCGUAGGCGGUUGCGUACGGCGGUGGUGAAAGCUCCCGGCUCAACUGGGAGAGGCCCGCCGCAACGGCGUGACUCGAGGGUGGUAGAGGCGGAUGGAAUUCCCGGUGUAACGGUGAAAUGUGUAGAGAUCGGGAGGAACACCCGUGGCGAAGGCGGUCCGCUGGGCCAUGCCUGACGCUGAGGCGCGAAAGCCAGGGGAGUGAAC
rnacentral:rRNA from 1 species